AUUAAAACCACAUAUGCUUGUUUUGAAACAAGAAUUUCUAGUUAAAGCAAGCAGAUCGUUAUGCUUCUCUCUAGGGGUAUGAUGUAAGAAGUAGACUCAAGGAUAAAGGAAACCUUAAAAAGCAAAGUGCAAUACAAGUAGAGAGGGUGCAAGGAAGAGUGACAUCCUGCCAGGCAGAAAACCACAGUCAGGUUCAGGUUUUCCAUACAUAAACCAGCUUCAAUGUUUUAUUUCAACAGGGAAAACAAACCAAAAACCAGACCAGUUACAAAAACAUCACUCCGGUGCGCAUCUAAGUCAAACCGUCUGCAAUCUGAAAUGAGAGCAGAUCUACACACUGUUUUCAUAUAAAAUCCUUGGGAUGCAGGACUAUGGCAUUUUAGCACAUGGGAGAUCAUAAUAUGAAAAGAAUCAUAGGACUCCACGUCUUUAUCUGUCUGGACGGGUCAUCCCUGGCCGGGUUGGCACCAUCAUGGGUCUUGAGGGCGGCCUCAUCAUUGGGGGCCCUGGCAUCAUUGGCAUGUGUCCUCCCAUUGGGGGCCUCAUCCCUGGAGCAGGUCCAACUGGCAUCAUUCCUGGCGGGGGUGGGCCCAUCAUUGGCAUCAUUGGUGGUCCACCCAUGUGAGGGGCUGGCAUCAUGCCAGGCCGUGGGGGACCAGGGAUGCUGGGAGGCGGUGGGAUCAUGGCUCCUCCAGGAGGUGGUGCUGAGAAUGGUGUCGGUGGAAUUUUCCCUUGCUGAAAUGCAGCCGUUGUUUUAUCAAUCAGGCUCUGAGCUUGUUCCUCCAUCCAUUUCUGAUAGUAGUCUUUCACAUUCUCUUUGUGCUUUCGGCCACUGCAGUGAGUUUUUCUCACGGAGGGCGAAUCAUGGGUGAGGUACGUGUCACAGUAGUCACAGUAAAACUUGGGCAUAGUGCUCCCCGCGCGCCG
rnacentral:lncRNA from 1 species